AGCAGCCGCGGUAAUUCCAGCUCCAAUAGCGUAUAUUAAAGUUGUUGCAGUUAAAAAGCUCGUAGUUGAAUUUCGGGGUCAGUAGAUUGGUCAUGCCUCCGGUAUGCACUGGUCUUACUGGCUCCUCCUUCCUGAUGAACCGUAAUGCCAUUAAUUUGGUGUUGCGGGGAGACUGGACUGUUACUUUGAAAAAUUGAGUGUUUAAAGCAGGCUAACGCUUGAAUACAUUAGCAUGGAAUAAUGAAAUAGGACGUUCGAUCUUAUUUGUUGGUUUCUAAGAUUGACGUAAUGAUUAAUAGGGGUAGUUGGGGGCUAUUAGUAUUCAAUUGU
rnacentral:rRNA from 1 species